CCCCAGUCCCAUCACUUUAUUUCCGCAUCCUUGAUGGUAAUUGGGUUGUAGAAUUCUAAAAGUUGUCGGUGUAGCUUUUAAUAGCAAGUCCAGCCUUGGACGGUGCUCGGGGGAUAGGGGAGAGGAAAUGGCCCGAGGUCCGGUGGACAACCCUCCAGCCUUGGAGAGUCCGAGUGAGGGUGGGAGCCCGAGCAUAAGGGGGGUGGGGAAUUGACAGGCGUGCAGCCCGAGGGGAGAGGGCUUCAAAGGUGGAGAUGCAAAAGGGGGCUUCUUCUUUAUCUAGCUGUCUGUCAUCCUCCAACCGGGAUCACUUCCAGGCUACAGUAAUUGGAGAUGGCUAGCGAGCCACCGAGAAGAAGCUGAACGCAAAAGAGAAGAAGUUGAGCACGAGCGAGAAGUCGUCUGCUAUUACAUUGCUGGGAUACCCCAUGGUAGCUUCUGUCAUUCGCAUUCCUUAACCUCCAAGUGGCCUUCAAGCUCCAUUCCACCAGCCACUUCACCAGCCAUCCCCGUAGUUGUACUCAAUUAUUUUAUUUUUUCACUUAAAAUUGUAUGAAUAUUUUAUUAUAAUAAUUAAAUAAAUAUUUUAAGUUG